GAACGCACCUUGCGCCCUUUGGCUAUUCUGAAGGGCAUGCCUGUUUGAGUAUCAUGAACACCUCAACUCUCAUGGUUUGCCAUGAUGAGCUUGGACUAUGGGGGUCUUGCCGGCCUAGCGUCGGCUCCUCUCAAAUGGAUCAGCUUCCCAGUGUUUGGUGGCGUCACAGGUGUGAUAACUAUCUACGCUUGUGGUUUUCCACCAUUAACCUUCAGCAAUGGAGGUUCGCUGGAGCUUACAGAUGUCUCUCCGGAGACAGCUUUUUGAACGUUUGAUCUCAAAUCAGGUAGGACUACCCGCUGAACUUAAG
rnacentral:misc_RNA from 1 species